AAAAUUUAUUACCCUACUUUAAUUUUUAAGUGAAUGUUAAAAAUAAAUUCCUAUAUUUUAUGUUCUGUUUGAGUUGUUAUCUUGUCGUAGGGAAAGCAGAGUUUUAUAUUUAAUUAUUUGAUUUGUGUUACAAAUAGAUUUCAAAAUUAUUUCACCCAUGGCAAAGAAUACAGUUUCAUUCCAUCAUAUCCAAGACGCCGAAGAAAAAGAGGAGAAGGUCCAGGAAAACGGUUUUUAUGUCCUAAGUGUAGUUAUUCCACUGACCAGAGAGGUGAUUUUACUAGACACGAGUUAACUCAUACUGGGGAACGACCACAUGCAUGCAACAUUUGUAACAAACGAUUUACUUUAAAGGGGAAUCUUCAGGCACAUUUAGUACUGCAUUAUAGACAGAGUAAUAAUUUGUAAUAAAUUUUUGUAAAUAAAUGUGUAAUUUUGUA